UCGUGCUAGACGGGGAGCUAGCGGUGCCCUGUAGCCCGAAAUCCGCUCAUGCGGGGUCGAAGUUCCUUGCUGAGAAACAAGAAUUAAGGACUAAUUCCUUCAGUGAGAGAGGAGGUCGGACCUCGUGUGACAGAUGAUUAUGAACCCCGUCAGGUCCGGGAGGAAGCAGCGGUAAGUAAUUCAAUCUGCAUCACGAAGCAAUCUGAUCUAACUACCUUUUCUUACCGAAAAAUUAUCCUUUUUUCUGUUCAAAGGAGGAUGCACGG
rnacentral:SRP_RNA from 1 species